UACGUAGGUGGCAAGCGUUUGUCCGGAUUUACUGGGCGUAAAGAGCGCGCAGGCGGUCGUUCAAGUCGCGUGUGAAAGCCCCCGGCUCAACUGGGGAGGGUCACGCGAUACUGAUCGACUCGAAGGCAGGAGAGGGUAGUGGAAUUCCCGGUGUAGUGGUGAAAUGCGUAGAUAUCGGGAGGAACACCAGUGGCGAAGGCGACUACCUGGCCUGUUUCUUGACGCUGAGGCGCGAAAGCUAGGGAGCAAACGGG
rnacentral:rRNA from 1 species